UCCUUUGACGUUAGCGGCGGACGGGUGAGUAACACGUGGGUAACCUACCUAUAAGACUGGGAUAACUUCGGGAAACCGGAGCUAAUACCGGAUAAUAUUUCGAACCGCAUGGUUCGAUAGUGAAAGAUGGUUUUGCUAUCACUUAUAGAUGGACCCGCGCCGUAUUAGCUAGUUGGUAAGGUAACGGCUUACCAAGGCGACGAUACGUAGCCGACCUGAGAGGGUGAUCGGCCACACUGGAACUGAGACACGGUCCAGACUCCUACGGGAGGCAGCAGUAGGGAAUCUUCCGCAAUGGGCGAAAGCCUGACGGAGCAACGCCGCGUGAGUGAUGAAGGUCUUCGGAUCGUAAAACUCUGUUAUUAGGGAAGAACAUACGUGUAAGUAACUAUGCACGUCUUGACGGUACCUAAUCAGAAAGCCACGGCUAACUACGUGCCAGCAGCCGCGGUAAUACGUAGGUGGCAAGCGUUAUCCGGAAUUAUUGGGCGUAAAGCGCGCGUAGGCGGUUUUUUAAGUCUGAUGUGAAAGCCCACGGCUCAACCGUGGAGGGUCAUUGGAAACUGUAAAACUUGAGUGCAGAAGAGGAAAGUGGAAUUCCAUGUGUAGCGGUGAAAUGCGCAGAGAUAUGGAGGAACACCAGUGGCGAAGGCGACUUUCUGGUCUGUA
rnacentral:rRNA from 1 species